UGUAUACUUCCCUUAGAAGAGAAUGUUAACUUGGUUGUAAGACUCUUUGGCUAUUGAGCAGGAUGCCAAGAUAAAUAGGACUCAAGACACAAAUGAUUAAAGGAUCAAGCAGCCUUUAUUGCACAGGUGGUCACAGAGGCGGAAGAAGCCAAAGGCCAUGUCCUGCACAGUGCAACUGCCUCAGAAGUGCAGGAGGCAGGUUGUUUGAUCCCAUUCUGCCCUUAGAACACAUCGUGCUGUUCAAAGGCUCCCCCACCACACUCCACACAUGCACACAGACACACAAUGAGGAACGUGGGAGUCACAUUGUCAUUGUGCCACCUUCUCGAGCUCACCUACUCUUUGCAAGAGAAUGUCAAGAUUUUAAAUAGCAUUUUACUUACAUCAUUUGAAACGGGAAAUGCCAUUCAUCAUCAAGCUACUAUCUGUUUAAAUACUUUGUGCAUGGUGAUUUGGUAUGGUUGAUACCUGUAAUUAAUGAGAUGGGGUCUGUGAUUUACCUCAAAACAAGUUUUCUUUAGGGGCCCCAUAUGAUGGAGUGCUCUUUGCAUAAUAUGCUUCCUUAAUGAGCACAACUGUUUUUUGACCAAAAUGUUAUCUGCAAGCUUAGCCCAUUAAUCACAUUGUUAAAUACAUACCAAAUAAAUAAUUGUGUAAAUAAAUAUUUUUUAAUCUGGA